CCUGGCUUAGAUUGAACGCUGGCGGCAGGCCUAACACAUGCAAGUCGAACGGUAGCACAGAGAGCUUGCUCUCGGGUGACGAGUGGCGGACGGGUGAGUAAUGUCUGGGAAACUGCCUGAUGGAGGGGGAUAACUACUGGAAACGGUAGCUAAUACCGCAUAACGUCGCAAGACCAAAGAGGGGGACCUUCGGGCCUCUUGCCAUCAGAUGUGCCCAGAUGGGAUUAGCUAGUAGGUGGGGUAACGGCUCACCUAGGCGACGAUCCCUAGCUGGUCUGAGAGGAUGACCAGCCACACUGGAACUGAGACACGGUCCAGACUCCUACGGGAGGCAGCAGUGGGGAAUAUUGCACAAUGGGCGCAAGCCUGAUGCAGCCAUGCCGCGUGUAAUGAAGAAGGCCUUCGGGUUGUAAAGUACUUUCAGCGGGGAGGAAGGUGUUGCGGUUAAUAACCGCAGCAAUUGACGUUACCCGCAGAAGAAGCACCGGCUAACUCCGUGCCAGCAGCCGC
rnacentral:rRNA from 1 species